AUGCGGGCGAUCUCGGCCAUACUGAAAGCCUUUGGGGAGGCUAGUGGCCUAAUCACGAACCUGUCAAAGACCGAGGUUUUUCCGAUACGGUGCGGGGACUUUGACCUAAGGGACAUACUCACCGUCUUCCCCGCCAAGAUUGCCAGCUUCGCAGGACGCUACCUCGGACUUCCAUUGCACUAUCGUCGGCUCCGGAGGGUUGACCUCCAACCUUUCAUCGACAAGAUUGCGGGUAGACUGCCGGGUUGGAAAGGAAAGCUACUAAAUAAGCCCGGCAGGGUCGCUCUG
rnacentral:rRNA from 1 species